UACGUAGGGCGCAAGCGUUGUCCGGAAUUACUGGGCGUAAAGCGUGCGCAGGCGGUGAUGUAAGACAGAUGUGAAAUCCCCGGGCUCAACCUGGGAACUGCAUUUGUGACUGCAUCGCUGGAGUGCGGCAGAGGGGGAUGGAAUUCCGCGUGUAGCAGUGAAGUGCGUAGAUAUGCGGAGGAACACCGAUGGCGAAGGCAAUCCCCUGGGCCUGCACUGACGCUCAUGCACGAAAGCGUGGGGAGCAAACAGG
rnacentral:rRNA from 1 species